AGGAGAGCGCCCGUCGCCGGGCGUUUUCUUAGCGCACGGCUCAGUAAAUGAGCCAUUCCCCUGAGCCAGGUACACGGAUUUCGUACCUGGCUUUUUUUG
rnacentral:sRNA from 1 species